ensembl:lncRNA LINC00964 long intergenic non-protein coding RNA 964
CUCUCUCUGGAAACUGUCAUUAGGGUUAGGGAAACUGUCAUGAGAUCUGCAUAUUUUAGAUAGAGGCUGCUUGCCUUAUUUGGGCACCUAAUGAAAAAGACAUGGAGGCCAGGUGCGGUGGCUCAUGUCUGUAAUCCCAGCACUUUGGGAGGCCAAGGCGAGUGGAUCACCUGAGGUCAGGAGUUCGAGACCAGCCUGACCAACAUGGCAAAACCCCGUCUGUACUAAAAGUGCAAACACAAAGGGAACUGCGUGGCUUGUUUCUACCUGAACAUUGUCAAGUGAUUUCAUCCUUUGAAACACAGUUGUGAAGUGUGUCCAGCAGUCUGAGAACAAGAAGAAGAAGAAAAUCUAAUCCUUCAGGGUGUCUGUGUGCCAGCCCUGCUCUCAGCACUUCCCAUGUGGAACUCCUUUACUUCUCCUAACAACUCCAUGACAUGGGUUAGACUGUGAUUGUUCCCAUAUUGUUGGUAGGGAAACUGAGGCAUGCAGGUGUUACAGAGCUCUCUCAAGUGGCAAGCUUUCUGGGUGGUUACAGAGUGGCAGAGCUGGGGUAUCCCAUGAUGUCACCACACUGCUAUAUGGAAAAGAACAUUAAUCGAGCACCUACGUGCUUGAUUCUCUUAAUUCUGUGACUGAACUCUCAAAACACCCUGGAGCACUGCGUGUUUUGAAAUAUACAAAUAGUGGGAAACGAAAUCUUUGUUCUGGAUGCAGUUAUAAUUUGGAAAGCGAGGAAAUAAAUUAUAACAAGGGGAAAAAACAGACACAGAGGGAUUGAAAUGCAUAACAAUAGAGAUGAAACACGAAGAGUGAUAAAUGAAGAUUGAGUGUGCACACCUUCUGGAGGAGCCCUGAUUGAGUAUUUUAACACUCCACGAAGAGGCCUUGGCUAGCUGCACAUCUCCCUACAUGGGUAUGUCAAGAUCACCAACUCUGCUUACAGCAGUUCCCAGAUGAAACUCUUCAUAAUUUCAGAUGCACCUUUAAUACCAGUGAAGGUUUACCUCCAGGCCCACAGUCUGGGUCUUUCCAGAGACACCCACAGCAAGAUGUCACCUGCUUUUUGAUGUCAUCAGAGUCAAACACAAACACCCACCACUGUGGUUUCCAUGUCUAAUUCGCAAAUGGCUUUAACUUUGAGCUGGCCCACAAUGUUGUAUUAACCCCACUCAGGUAUCAUCUUUCUCCGUGGGUGAACCCAUAGUGACCUUUCCUUCUGAUUCUUCUUUUACUCUAAGGGCAUGAUUUUGGCAAACUGUCUAUAUGUACACUGGAAACAACUUCAACUUGCUUUUAUGUUGAUUUCACUUCUCCACUUUCAAUGCAGAAAGCUAAUCAGCAAUGCCCUAGGUUACUAAGAGAGGACAAUUCUUUCUUAGCCCAUUGAAUUAUGAGCAUUUUCUUGGAAAUGCAGCAAAAUGUGUUCUGACAGAUGCCUUUGGGUCCCUUGGGUUCUUUGCUAAGACAGCUAUAGAGAGAGGGCUCAAUAAGGUGGGGCCUGUGAUGGGACAUUGUUUUUACUGCACUGGUGAUAGAACAAAAGUCAGACAGGGCACAACACACACUGAUACAACCAAUCACCCAGUCACACUGCAGCCUUAGGAAACCCAUGAGCUUGUGGCAGCAGGCAAACUUGCUUCAGAGUUCCAAGAAUCCAAAUGUUCCUGGUGUGUCUGUUGUCUUGCGAUAUAGACUGAGAUCACAGGAUUGAAGAUACGACCAGAGUCAUGCUGUUGAAAGAGACUGGCUGAGUAGUGAUGAAAAAUAAACUUGGUCAAUCU